CACAGAGGCACGCGGUCCCAUCGCCCCGGGAGUGUCAGCCUCGCUAUCGACGCUACCGAUAAGGCCUCACGUGCGACCGGCCCGUCUCGACGCAGCUGACUUGCUUACUCUGCAAACCGCUUUGCAGCCGUGGAAGUGAACGCUCCUCGAUUCUUACCGCGUCGCUGCAAGUCCCGUGAGUAGAAGAAUUGUACAUCAUGGAUCCACGGACGUGGUCAGCUGGCAGGGGCGUCUGGCUCGCCCUCUUGUUUGAUGUGACGCUAGCUAAUUCCGUUAACAUAGUGCGUCGCUUGGGAGUCGACCACGACUACACAUGGGAUGACUUCGCCAUGACUGCCGGUGCCAAAUUGGGGGCCAUCCUGUUUGCGAUCCUGGUCGUGGUCACCUUACUUUUCGUGUGCUGGAGCGCAUGCGCCAGGUGUUCGCGCGCAGAGGAAGCCCAGCAGCCGCUCAUACCUACUCCAAGGGCGCCGGCCACACUCGGCCCAGCUGGGCGCAGCUACACGCAACAGCCGGUACCGUGCGCAAUGACAUCUCCGGUCGCACCGCACCCGCAGCCGUACUACUACCAGCAGCAGGCGCCGCCUUACCCGCAAGAGGCAAUCUACGUUGGCCACAACGUGGCGCCCUUCGCAGAGCCACCCACGGUGCCCACGCAACAGCCGUCGGCGCCGAUAAUCCCGCCGCCGAUAAUGCCACCACCGCCACCGCCUGCAUACAUCUAUCCACCGCAACAUCCUCAAUGAAACGUCGCAGUAGCCACGAACGGUACGGGUGCUGGACGCUGACUAAACCGGGUGCGGCGGAGAACCCCGGAGUGCAUCCCCGACACGCAGUUUACGGCACCGCCUGAAGGACAGAUACGAACUCUCGAGAACGAAAGCAUAUUUAGAGCCAGCAAACAAGGACGGAAGGGAGACGACCACCACAAUGCGCUAACUAUUUCCUGAAAACCAAGUUGUUGAAAUCAGCGCACUGUGGUGUCGUCUCCCUUCCGUCCUUGUUUGCAGGCGCUAAAUAUGCUUUCAGUUUACCAACACGCCCAACGAAUGGCAAUGCUGAAAUUUAUCUCGAGAACGCCCCCAUACCCCAAGUGUACAAGUGCUGUGUAACCAUUGUGAUGACAGUCGGCGCGUAAUGUGCAUAAUAUAACGCGUAUAGUAACGUGACACGUAUGCAGUGCAAAAUGAUAACGUCAGCGUGAGAAUGAGCGCUUGUGCGCCCUGUGCGUGAUGCGGGUGUGUUUUUCGGCGCUCCCAAGUUUCUACCACGACGGCGCGUAGUGGCUCACACAAUUUAAAGACGGAAACAUGCAACAAGUAAGCUACCGCAAAAGAACACGCCUAUACGCACGCGACACACCUACCUCAAGGCUUGGUUAACUCUUCAUCAUCGCUGAGAGGUUGAACAGACGACAGGGCGUCGUGAUACCUGGGGUCGAGAACAGCUAGAACACCGGAGGUGCAAACGUUAAGUGCAGACGCAAGGGAAGAGGCGAAGAAACGCAUCCAACAGAUAACAUAUUAUAGCGGUUGACGUUAAUGCUAAACGAAAGUUACCGCAGUUGGCGGUUCUGUAUUAGCUUUCACUAUCUGGUGUUCCUUAACGUUCACCUCUCGGCACAUUCACGUUCGCGCUCUGCCCCAUUAUUUCAAAAGCAUCGAAUCUCCACUAGCACAAACAUUCUGUGUAAAAAAUUAGCGUUAGUUAUAUACACUCAUAUGAAACAGAAUUUGUCAUUGUUCUUAGAUAAAUACGUCCAUAAAGAAUGCUCGUACAACUUCCGGCAUACCACUUAUAACAACAACAAAAAAGAAGAUCCGCACUAACUACGGUUCACAAAAUUUAUCGUAUACCAGAUUCCUAACUUCUUGAAUAAACACGAGACAACUAAGACCGUUAUUACAGAAGAUAUCUCAGCGCAAGCAUUUAAAGAGAACAUAAGCAGAUACCUUCUUGGCACACAAUAUUGAAAUGUUUUUCGCUUUUUCUCUCGGGGUGUCCAUUCAUUAUUAAAGUUUCUUCAAUCUCUCGGGGUGUUAAGUGAGCACGAAAUGUUGGUUCAGUUGUAAGGUUCGUUUUUCUUAUUGCUCCUGUUUAUUUGUUUUGGUCGAUUUUUCUGUACUUCAUGACACAAAUAUCAUUCGUUCAUAGCUGUGCAUUAAUCGCGAUGCAGAUGAGUCUGGCCCAAAGUUUUGUUUAGAUGCAUUGUUGCCAGUGCUUUUCACUGAUUUAUGUUCAAAGUUUAGCCGACGGGCAAUGUAGCAAUUAGUAUAGUGAUGUCGGGUGAUGUGUUUGGGAAGAGGGGGCAAGGGGGCUGACACUCUGUUAGGCAUUACUUGCUUUAUGUAUGCCUCCUAGGUAAGUGUUUUGAUGCCUAAAUAAAAUACUUUAACUUUGAACUCCGCAAGAACGUUUCUGCAUUCCAUCGCCAUCGGAAUGCGGCAGAUACGGCCGGGAUUCGAACCCACGACCUAGCGCUCAGCAGCUGAACGACACGCCACGUGGCAAACUGUAUAUAUUCAGCCCCUGAACCUCAUGACAUAGUAUGUUACAAAAGCCCCAUGCAGCGCUGAACUUACAAAGCUUCUCGUUCCUAAGUGCUCUUCGCUAUUGUCAAACCCCCUUCCCUAAUAGUAUGUCGAGCAUCAGGAUUGGCUAGAAUUUUUUUUUUCUUACGAUUAUUUCUAGUGUACAAGCUUUUUGUGAAUGCGGGCUCACUUGUCUUCUCCCCGCGCUCUCAGUUUCAGGUUGCUUUGCGCACAGGUGGAUAGCACCACUGCAGAGCCUGGAAGAUAACAGAGAGCUUUAUAAAGUUUUACAAGUAUACUGAUUAGGGUGCACAAACGCCGUACGUUGUGCUUGCAACGCAAGUCCUUGGCUUUCAGAAAGAUCUAAUAGAAGUGUGGGUCUUUUUACGUGCACAAGCUACACUUGCAUCCCCUACAGCAACGCUCUCUAUUAAGAGGCGAAAGAUUGCAUUGCAACAAGCUUGCAGCAAGGAGCAGCCUCUGUAGUGACGCACACUCACGUUUGCCGCGUAGCAAAUAUCGCUGACUCCUCGCUGAACAUAGUUGCCUUCCAAUUCCAGUAUAUAAGGAGAAAAUAUGGGUCAUUCGAUAACAGGGGGCGAUCAUGUAUUCGCUAUGCCACCUGUCGUCUUCAUUCGAGCACAAACUGUGCAAAGAACCGACAUUUCAUUUAUUUACUUUUCGGUCAGGCAUUUAGAAUUGCAUGCCAUGACUGACUUACGUGGUUCAACGUCCCGAAACAACACAGACGCUAUCAAAGACACAACUGGAGGGAGUUAAAGUGAUGUUCCGAAUUACUUCUGACUGUAUAGAGGUCUCUCGAAUUCACCUCCUCCAGUACACUACGUCUCCAGACAUGGAGUGGCGCCUGACACCGGCAAAAAUGCCGAGAGCCAGUGGGGCUAUACUAAUCCAAUUAGGAAAACCCGCUAAGGUUCAACAAAAGACACUCCCUCCACACAAAAGGAGUUGGCCUGCCUGGUGCAGUAUUCGGCCACUCCCUCCCAAAUGACUCAUUCGAUCAACCAAUGGCCCUCAGCUCCCAGCAGCUGCGGAGCACCUGACCAAGGCGGCGGUCAGACUUGUAACGCAGAAGAGGAUGGCAAGAAGAAAUUCGCAGGCGCUAGUUGGAAUCGGUCGGCGCAGGACAGGGGUAAUUGGAGAUCGCAGGGAGAGGCCUUCGUCCUGCAGUAGACAUAAAGUAGGCUGCUGCUGCUGCUGCUGCUGAUGAUGAUGAUGAUGAUGUAUAGAAGUCCCUAACGUGCGGCACACGGGCCUUUUUGUAUUGCGCCUCCAUCGGAAUAAAAAAAAAACUCGGCCUCAUGCUCAUAUGAUCCUCGUUUCCAGUGAGUUAGCGCGGCGGUUCGCAUCAAGAUCCAAAGACCUCACAAUGACGUCAUGCAACGCCCUCCCCCAUCUCCUUCCUCCACUAGCGUGCAAGACCAACGCCACCUAGGUAUCACAAAGACUGUGCACUCUGCUUUAUGACGUCACGGCCAAAAUUCCCACUGCCAAGACGGAUGUGACGAAAAUGGCGACGUCAAAAAUCACCGCGGCUUACUCGGCAGCAUUCACAUCAGAUUCUAUGACAGUCGGCUCCAGUAGCGUGACGUCGUAAAGCACAGCGUACAGGCCCUGCGCUAUCCGCGCGGCUUUGGGCAAGACUCGGUGUGUGACGUAGGUCGGAACGUGGACGCAAGCUGUUGCCCUGUUUUAAAUGCGGAUGAAGAGAACGGGCAGAAAUAAAGGCACACAGAUAACGAAGGCGGCAGGCUUCCACGCGUUUCACGAAGGGGCAAGGCUGUUGCUCGCUGCGAAGCGUCCCCUUUAUUGACGUUCCGAUAACGCCCUCGACAUCUGCCAGGUGCUCCACGUAACGGCCCUCACAGUGUGUCAAAGCCGCGAGCCACUCCGCGAGCCAUUCGACGAUUCCUGUGACCUGAGCAGUUGACCGAAAUGCUUGCCUUUAACGCGAUUCCUUACUGCCCUCUUUGUAGAGCGAGAAGGUCUGCCUAAAACACGGAUAUUACACAACGUAGAAGACAUUCUCAAGGUCUUUCGGUUCUGCUCGCCGGCAGAGUCAUGGAUCACCGGCUGUGGUCAACUGCUGGAGGCAUCUGCCUCGCUUUCUUCUUGGAUGCGGCGAGAGGCGAGAGCACCGACUGGGAAGACUCCAUGAGGGGGCAGUUCCAGCCGAGCUACGAUAGCAAGUGGAAGCGCCUACGGUCGCGUACUCACUUGUCCACCGGGGCGAUCGUGGGAAUCGCCGUCGCCGUGGUCGCAGUGGUCGCCUCGGUCUUCCUGUGCUGCUGUUACCGACGGAGAAGACGACGCAUUCUGGCCACGCAGCAGCACGUCAUGCAUCCGGCCAUGGUACCGCCUAUGCCAGGCGUGGCGCCCUACGCGUGCCCCGGAUCGUGCCCUCCCGUCCCGGUCGUUGGUCCGUACCCUGCGCAGAACUACUACCAGCACCAGGCGGCGCAGCACGCGCAAAUGGGACUCCACGCUGGUCACAACCUGGCGGCCCCCUCGCAACAGCCGUCGACACUGCCGAUGCCUUCGCCUACCGCGCCACCCGAACCACCACCGCCCUACAACUACAGGGCGAACUACCCGCACUGAGGUGUGACCUCAGAGAUCGGGCGUCGCGCGCCGCCCGAUCUCGAAGGCAAUGACUCGUCAUUCGGCGACCGCGACUGUGGAAAAAAAAAAGAUCGGUCGAGCAACGUGACACAGGAACACGUCGCAACCGCGCGUCACCAAGUGAAGGACAAAGGCACUGCUAGGACCAAUGUUUUCGUUAACUAUCCUGUCUUGAAAUUGCAGCACAACCAGUGGCGUACACGUCCUUUCUGAUAGGGCAAAAGUAGUCCUGGUCAACGUCCUAGCGCACAGCGUUUUUUUUUUUCGGAGUAAAAGAAUAGACCAAUGCAUUUCGCUUGCAUUCUUGGGCAUGAAUUCCUCGAAACACGCGCUAAGCACGAGAUUUCUGUCAGAUAGCACAUGUUUUGGAUGCCCUCUGGCUUCCAUUCUGCAAACAGAUGACCCCCAGUGUUGUGAACUAAAACAUUAUUGAGUGAAAUUUCGGUUAUUUCAUACCUCAAAAAUUACCACCACUUAGAUCCUGACGUCCUCCGCGGAAAAUGAUAUGUUGCCGAAAUAACUGUCUCAAUCCCCGCUACGGUAUCUCAUAUUGUUACUUCUUCCCUGGCGCACCUGGAUAAGUUAUAUGCUUUCGGGGGUCCUUGAGCAACCUCAGAGGCAAACAAAGUUGGUCACGGAGUCAGAGACAUAACCCGGCCUUUAUCCGUCGCGGUGACUCGUUGGCAAUAGCGCCCAGCUGCUGGUCACGAGGUCGCAGGAUCGAUUCCCGGCACCGACGAAUGAAUUCCGACGAGUGCAGAGCGCAAAAAACAAACAAAGAGCGCUCUCGUGCUAAUGAGAUGCGCAUUAAACAACCCCGUGCGAUCAAAACUACGCCGUAGCUCUCCACCACGACGUCUAAUAUGCACAGUGAUCAAAGUGUUGGGCCCUCGGGACCGCUAUGUAUAACCACAUCGAUCAAUUUCUAGCAUUGCAAUUGCAAUGGUGUACUGUAACCGCUGCGGCGCGACGCACUGUCGCGAGAAAUGUGCCGUUUCUCAUCAAACGUGACGACGACUUCGCAAUUUUAAUUUGAAGAUUGCCAGAACAUUUUCGACACUUCACAUUUUUUUUUCUUUUUCGAAAUACCAGCUUUUACUUCCCGGCCCUCCACUCUUCGAAGGGAAAUUAAACUGACUUGACUUGACUGUAGCUGA